ACAACAUUGAUUUGGAUAGAAGUAUUGGUGAUCGGAUUCAUCGAGUUCCAAAGGAACGCCGAGCUUGACCCGGAGAAGAGGUUGUACCCCGGAGGAAAGUACUUUGAUCCUCUCGGCCUAGCCGCCGACCCGGAGAAGAAAGCAACCCUACAAUUGGCUGAGAUCAAGCAUGCUCGCCUUGCCAUGGUUGCUUUCUUGGGGUUUGCUGUCCAAGCUGCUGCAACAGGCAAAGG
rnacentral:lncRNA from 1 species